AGAGUUUGAUCCUGGCUCAGAAUCAACGCUGGCGGCGUGCCUAACACAUGCAAGUCGAACGGGAAAGGGGAGCAAUCCCUGAGUAUAGUGGCGACCGGGUGAGUAACACGUGACUACCUGCCCUUGAGUGGGGGAUAACCUCGGGAAACCGAGGCUAAUACCGCAUAAUAUCGCAAGAUCAAAGGAGCAAUCCGCUUUUAGAGGGGGUCGCGGCUGAUUAGCUAGUUGGUAGGGUAAUGGCCUACCAAGGCGAAGAUCGGUAUCCGGCCUGAGAGGGCGCACGGACACACUGGAACUGAAACACGGUCCAGACUCCUACGGGAGGCAGCAGUGGGGAAUUUUGCGCAAUGGGGGAAACCCUGACGCAGCAACGCCGCGUGGAGGAUGAAGCCCCUUGGGGUGUAAACUCCUUUCGACCGGGAAAAUAAUGAUGGUACCGGUGGAAGAAGCACCGGCUAACUCUGUGCCAGCAGCCGCGGUAAUACAGAGGGUGCGAGCGUUGUUCGGAAUUAUUGGGCGUAAAGGGCGCGUAGGCGGUACGGUAAGUCACCUGUGAAAUCCCCGGGCUUAACUCGGGGCCUGCAGGCGAAACUGCCGUGCUGGAGGGUGGGAGAGGUGCGUGGAAUUCCCGGUGUAGCGGUGAAUUGCGUAGAUAUCGGGAGGAACACCUGUGGCGAAAGCGGCGCACUGGACCAUACUGACGCUGAUGCACGAAAGCUAGGGGAGCAAACAGGAGUAGA
rnacentral:rRNA from 1 species